rnacentral:rRNA from 1 species
AUUGAACGCUGGCGGCAGGCCUAACACAUGCAAGUCGAGCGGUAGCACAGAGAGCUUGCUCUCGGGUGACGAGCGGCGGACGGGUGAGUAAUGUCUGGGAAACUGCCUGAUGGAGGGGGAUAACUACUGGAAACGGUAGCUAAUACCGCAUAAUGUCGCAAGACCAAAGUGGGGGACCUUCGGGCCUCAUGCCAUCAGAUGUGCCCAGAUGGGAUUAGCUAGGGGGUGGGGUAACGGCUCACCUAGGCGACGAUCCCUAGCUGGUCUGAGAGGAUGGCCAGCCCAACUGGAACUGAGACACGGUCCGGACUCCUACGGGAGGCAGCAGUGGGGUAUGUUGAACAAUGGGCGCAAGCCUGAUGCAGCCAUGCCGCGUGUAUGAAGAAGGCCUUCGGGUUGUAAAGUACUUUCAGCGGGGAGGAAGGCGACAAGGUUAAUAACCUUGUCGAUUGACGUUACCCGCAGAAGAAGCACCGGCUAACUCCGUGCCAGCAGCCGCCGUAAGAC